rnacentral:tRNA from 1 species
GCGCCCGUAGCUCAGUGGACAGAGUAACGGACUACGAAUCCGGAGGUCGGAGGUUCGAAUCCUCCCGGGCGCGCCA